rnacentral:rRNA from 1 species
GUGGUUUUGGAUGGACUCGCGGCCUAUCAGCUUGUUGGUGAGGUAAUGGCUUACCAAGGCGACGACGGGUAGCCGGCCUGAGAGGGUGACCGGCCACACUGGGACUGAGACACGGCCCAG